CAGUAGCCACGGGAAUACGGAGGGUGCAAGCGUUAAUCGGAAUUACUGGGCGUAAAGCGCACGCAGGCGGUCUGUCAAGUCGGAUGUGAAAUCCCCGGGCUCAACCUGGGAACUGCAUUCGAAACUGGCAGGCUAGAGUCUUGUAGAGGGGGGUAGAAUUCCAGGUGUAGCGGUGAAAUGCGUAGAGAUCUGGAGGAAUACCGGUGGCGAAGGCGGCCCCCUGGACAAAGACUGACGCUCAGGUGCGAAAGCGUGGGGAGCAAACAGGAUUAGAUACCCCGGUAGUCCCUGUCUCUUAUAC
rnacentral:rRNA from 1 species